CGCCGGAAGACAUACACCCUGAAAAGGAAACAGCUAGCUACAAAGAAAGAAAGAAAAACAAACAAACAAACACAUUUCUGAAGCCCACUGAGAUAACGUGUGCUUUUAAAAAGCGGAAAAAAGAAUCCCAAACCCAUAAUAUCCGCUCUGUUUGUGCAUUGUAAACGUAGCUAACUAGUCAAGCUAAGUGCUAAUGUGUACGUUAAACUGCUACUUCACUAGCUAGCUGACAGCUGGCUAAUACAAACACAUCGAAAAGGAAAACUACUAGAACUUUGCUCAAGAGCAUAACCAUGAGCACCAAUGCAGAGCGGAAAUUUAUAAAUCUGCGAAAGCGCCUGGACCAGCUGGGCUACAGGCAGCCGUUAGGCAUCGAGUCGUUGCCUUUGGUUGAAAAGCUAUUUAGUGAUUUAGUCCACACCACUGAAAGUCUUCGAAAUGCCAGGCUCUCAGCUGGGAAGACUGAAAAGGAGAGUCGAAAUCUCGACGCUCUGCUGGAGCCGUAUAAGGCAGAAAAUGCCCGGCUUGUCCGAGAGAACAACGAACUGCACUUAGGGCUUCUCAAAUUGAAGGAGGAGAAAGGACGAACCACUAGAGAACUAAAGGCUUUUAUUAGGAAACUAGACCACGAGACCUCAGAUCUAAAGUUCCUCAACAAUCAGUAUGUGCAUAAGGUCCGCGCACUGGAGAAGGAUAGCAAAGCCAAAAGCGAACGCAUUCAGCAGCUCCAAGAGAAGAACAUGCAGGCUGUAGUGCAGACACCAGGAGGGAAAAAGAGGCCAAUCCCUUUCCGACGCCAGCGUAUGCAGAUAGACGAGCUUCUCCCCACGUCCCGUGGCAUGUCUUCAGCCGUGGCACAGCCAGAUGACCCGUACAUUGCUGAUCUUCUUCAGGUGGCAGACAACAGGAUUCAGGAACUGCAGCAGGAAGUGACAGCACUGAAGUUGGAUCUAGAAAGAGCCCAGGGGGGAAUCAAGCACCUCAAUGCUCAGGUAGAGGAGCGAGAUAAAGAGAUUGAGCGCCUGAAUCGAGCUCUAGAUGGAGGACGACCGUAUGAUGUCAUCUCUCUGGAGUCUCAGAACAUCAGUAAUGAAAAGCUCAUUGCUCACUUAAACUUACAGAUUGAGUACCUGCAGGAAACAAACAGGACACUGGAACAGAAGGUGGAAGGAUUGCAACAAAAGAAAAAGACCUUUUCCAGUGAAGUGGCCGACCUAAGCGCCAAGAACCAGGAGCUGUGCAGUGAACUCACACAGAUAGACCAGCUCGCACAGCAGCUAGAGCGAGACAAAGAGAUGGUGUUGGAGACAGCUGACAUGGAGCUGCAGGAGGCCAGGAAAGAGGUUCAGCGGCUGCACAAACAAACAGAAGAACUGGAAGAGGUCAUUUCUAAAUUAAGACAGAACCAAGCAGAAAACAAUCUCGAUAAGGACCGUUUGAUGGAUCAGCUAUCAGCACUGAAGGAGGAAAAUGUGAAGAUGGAAGGACUGAUGAAUUUCCUGGAAGAGGAAAAGAAGAGACUGCAGGACAAAGUGGAGAAAAUGACACGAGCUGAUAAAGAAAUGGUUUUAGAGUUGGAGCACACGCGUGCUCGGCAUGGCAUGUGUGGAAAAGAGCGCUCUCCAUCUCGAUUGGACGCUUUCGUAAAGAGUUUGGAAGAAGAAAGGGACCACUACAGACAUGAGGCAGAGAAAUACAGAAAGACAAGGGGUGGGGCAGGCAGUGCCAGUCCUUCCAAGAGCAGGAGUCCCAGAGGGCGUGGGAGCUGGCCUGCGAGAGGAGAGAGUGCAGACAGUGAACUGUCACGUGCACUAAGAGAGAGAGAUGAGCUCCAAGCCAUGCUGCUGGACUUUGAGAAACACAUGGAGGACAUUCAGAUUAAAGUCAAACUGCUCACCACUGAGAAAGACCAACUCAGCACUCAGUAUCAACAGGCCCAGGAGGAGCUGCAGAGUGUUCGUAGCAAGUUGACAUUAUCUCCAGAGCUGCAGCAGAGAGUGAGAGAGGAAAGAGAGCAGGCAGACACCGAGCUCCAUAAAGUCACAACAGAAAGAGACACACUCCGUGAGAGACUCAAGGUGGCCCAGACUUCAGCUCUGACAGACAGAGAGCAGGAGGAGAUAAGAAUAAUGGAGCUGGAGAACACAGUUCAGAUGCUGGAGAGAGAGCGGUCAGAUCUGCGCACUCAAGCGUCCGUAUUAAAGGAGAGCCGUGUGGCUCUCGAAGAGGAGCUGAAGGCCCGCUCAGCAGCCUUGCUUCAGAAUGCAGAAGAGAUGGCCCAGCACAGGUCUGAGAACAGCACUCUGAGACUGCUGCAGGAGCAGAUGGAGAAGUCUCUCUCUGAUGUUCAGCACAGAUUGUCUGUAAAGGCUAGCGAACUACAGGCAGCUCACCAACAUAUGGACAAAUUAGAGGAACGAAUCUCUGACCUGACUAGGAAUGGGUCUUCUCAAAAAGAUGAGGUGGCUGUGCUGCAGGCUGCCAUUGCAUCUCUGGAUCGAGAGAAGGACAUACUGCAGGAGGCUGUGGACCACAAGGCAGAGAGCAUGGUCCUACUCCAGGACCAACUAAACAAGAAGGAGAAGAUGCUGACAGAAGUUCGCCUCACCAUAACAGAAAUGGAGAACUCUUUAGAGCAACUAAAGGGGGUGCUGAGCAGCCGUGAGCGGGAGAUAGCUAGUCUGCGCAGACAGCUAGAUCAGUCGCAGGAGGAGCUCUCAUCCGUCAGCCGUGACCGAGAGAUUGCACUUCGAGAAAACCGCCGACUACAGGACGACCUGGUCACCAUGACCAGAGAAAACCAGGCGGUGCAUAGAGAAAUGGAAGAGGCACUGAGAGAGAGGGAUGACCUAAAGAUGAGAGUUCACUCCUAUAUUUCUGAAGUGGCCAAGAUCGAGAAGUUGAUGGCAUCAAAGGAACAGGAGAACAGGGAGAUGUUGGAGCAUUUCCGCUCGGCGCACACGGACUCUGAGGAGCGCGAGCUAAAACUGCAGCAGGCUGAGGGUCUCAACAACUCCAUCAAACUGGAGCUUCUUUCCUCAGACACAGAGCGCAGACACCUCAGAGAGAAAGUCUCCCUACAGGACCGAGAGAUACAGGAGCACAUGAAUGCACUACAGGCAUAUGAGGCUCAGGUAUCCUCUCUGAUGCGGGCAACGUCUCGGCUGGAGGACGAGCUCCAGGCUGCACGGGUCGAGAAGGCAUCAGUGCUAGCUGAUCUCGCUUCUGUACGUGAGCUCUGUGUUAAACUAGACUCCAGCAAAGAGCUGACCACACGACAACUUGCUGCCAAGAGCAUGGAGCUGGAGAGGAUGACUGGUGAGAUGGAGGAUGUACGUUCAGAGAUGGAGCUCAUGAAGAAGCAGCUGGCAAGCGAGAAGGUGACUGUGCGUAACCUGGAGACGCUGCUGUCCACCAACCGACAGAAAGAGUUUCAGAACCAUCUCAGUGCAAGUGAAAGGGAAUCGGAGCUGAAAGUGCUCAAAGACCGCCUGGCUCUCGCAGACAGCAAAGCAGCAAGUCAUGCUAGAGAGGUUUCUCAGCUGCGCGGAAAAUUGUCUCAGCUCCAGACAGAAAUGGACGUGCUGAAGAGGCAACUGACAACAGAGCGAUUUGAGCGGGAAAGGGCAGUCCAGGAGAUGCGAAGACAGGGUGUGUCUUUCACAUCACUGCGUAGCUCCUCCCCCCUCAGUACCUCACACAGUCCACGCCCAUCAUCCCCUGAACCUUCUGCCUUACGCACACCGGAACGCUUAUUUGAAAAAUCUCCAGAAAAAAACGUGAGUUUUAAGGACUAGAGAGAAGAAAAAAAAGCUGAGGAUCUUCGGAAAGCAGGGUGUUAUCAGGCGUUACUCUCUGGGAAUGCUGUUCUAACGUCAUCCCUAUUGUUUUGAAUUUGGAUUGAGGAUCGUUGCUUGUCAGCCACAUGCACCCUGGACUUGAAGCAUAAAAAGCAAACCUCCGAGCCAAACCAACACCAGGUUUAACUUAAGCUCCACUCAUCCUCAUGCGCACCCAGUACACAACUAUCCAGUAAAGCAUUGCUUUUAAUGGUUAAUCACAGGUGUAAAUAAAUGCAGUACAUUAACCGGACCAGCAAAUCCAGUGUACUGCAUGCUUUCCAGUAGCAUCUAAACACCACAGCAAUGAAGAAGCACGUCUCAGAAAAUGGUUCGGGAACGACAGAGAAAGCUACAAGCUGUACUGCUCACCGUUUCCACGGCAGCAAGAUAGAGAGAUAAACAAGCAGCUUUUUAAACCGAGACAGUAUUUACACUAAGCAUUCCACUGGCAUGGUCAUGCAUGGGCUCUUUUUUUUUUCCAAGACAAAAUGAUGACUUCAGUCUCUC